AAGAGAAAACCGUGUCCUGCUCUCUCUCUUUCAAUUUCGUUUUCCUUGCCUCUGCAUAGUGGGUAGCGAAUUUCUUCCUCUCAAUUUAUUCAUCAUUCUUCUUGUCUUUUUCCUCCACCAAAAAAAAACCACACAAAAUCCUACCAUUGAUUACAUGCUGUUGAAGGACAUUUGGGCUUUCACGUGGAAGAGUUUUGAGACAAUUAUUGAGAGUUAGGGCUUGUGAUUUGAGGAAGGAGAAGAGUAUCCAGCACUUCAAAUUGUGGAUUUGAUUUCUUGGAGAUUCGUUGGCUAGUGGUUUGUUCGGUUGCCGUGGAGCUGUUGGAAGCAGUUCAGUUGAUUCGCCUUUGUUAUUUUCAGGCAGCUUAGUAGCAGACUGUUGUCAGAUUCAGAUCAUUCGACUUAUUUCCUUUAGCAGGUUGUCAUAGUGGUGUCUUUUAUUCAAUCCUGGUUAUCUGCAGCUAUAGAGAGUCCUAGGUGGAUUUAGAUUUGGGAUUGUGAUUUAUUGUUAUAUUUUAAGAGUUGGCACUUGAGUGCUCGAGUUGAUUUUAUAUUUCACUUAAAAUACUGGUUAUGGAAGAACCUAUUGGCAGAUGUUGUUAAUUUGUAACUAUUGGAAUUACAAAAGAGAUUCUAGUGUUUUUAUAUAUGUGUACAAAGAUAUUUUGAAUAAAUUGUUUGGAAAAUGAUUCUAUGGGGAA